GACCCAGUAAAAGUGAUGGGAGCCUAGCCUCCAUCGAAGUAGUAGUCAUCAGUUCUUGCCUCCGCACUCAAGGUUGAGGCCUCCAGGAAACAAAUCAACUCAUCACUCUUUGUUUAGAAAAAAAACACUAGCACACCAACACAAUAUGGUGACCAAAUCACCAUGGAGAGCGACAUGGGGUGAGAAAGAAGGGGGCUGACCAGGAGUAGAAGUCGCCAGGGAACCCAAGUGCUUGCAAGCAAAUCUAGAAGCGCAUUUGAAAUGUCGAUACCUGCAGAAGACGAAGCAAGUGUUUGAGGUAAACAAGCCCAAGAUUGGAGCUCAACAUCAUCAAGAUUAAGGAGGCAAACUAAAAUAAUGGGACAACAUCCGGAGCACAGAUUUGGUGCCAUCUUUCAAGACACAGGCAAGUCAUGUAGAUGACACAUCGAUUUUUUUUAUAAAAAGAACUUAAUUUCAAAAUACUUGCAUAAAAAUAUAUUUUCUAUAUUAAAUUGGACAUGAUGAUUAUGAUGGACAAUGACUACUGGAUGAUAAAUAAGUAUUCGAUGUAGAGGGAGCUCAUGGAAUGUGAUGAUGAAUUAGGGUCGGUCAAGCUCUCUCUAUAUCGACUAUGAAUAUACAAGGACUCACCCUUCUCACUCAUUAUGUGGGCCAUAUGAAAUCGUGUCGGCAAGUGAACUCGUUUGUGACGGGCCGAGUCCGGUACCCAUGAAUGUUAUUAUAUACUCCCUAUGGUAAGUGAGGAGAGGGUUGGGUGAUGAAAUCCCAAUCAGGUGUCGAUGAAGUACACCCAGGCGCAUAUAUUAGCGCACGUGGAUAGAUGUGGAUGUAUAUAAUAUACGGAAGUGGGGAAAGUCACGGUAUCUUGACCAUGAGUCAUACCGAAGGAAGUGUGAUGGAAAAUUGGUCAAGGUAAUCAUGGGUAAAGCGAUACAAACCUGCGCAGGGUUAAGCCGUGAAUUCACGUCAUGUCUCUUGGUAUGGAGGCUACGGGAGCCUAUAGGAGGCUCUGUCUCACUUAUGGGUGAUAAUAGAUUUUUUUAACUUAUUUUGUUAAAAUAUGCAACUUUUUUUAUAUAAAUGAUCCUAUGAAUGAGAAUGGAUAUGACAAAUGGAUAGGAACGCAUUUCAUCUGAUUUAUUAUAUGCUUGCUGAGUACCUUGUACUCACUCUUGCUAUUAACCCUCCCCCCUUCAGAUGAGAAGAGAUAAUCUACGACGAUGAGAUAGGCCAAGAAUUUGAUCUAAACAGAGCCACCGGAGAAAUACAUGAUACAAAUAAUUUUCAAGUAUAAUGUGAAGGUUUUGCUUUUUUUUGUUUUAGGUAAUGUUUAUUAAUUGUUUUUAAUUAAAUGUGACAAUUUUUUUUGUAAAGUCCUAACUAUCGUUCUGUUGCAUCACUUUGAUUAGGGUCAUUAUCCGAG
rnacentral:lncRNA from 1 species